rnacentral:rRNA from 1 species
GAUUCGUCACACUAUCAUUAACUGAAUCCAUAGGUUAAUGAGGCGAACCGGGGGAACUGAAACAUCUAAGUACCCCGAGGAAAAGAAAUCAACCGAGAUUCCCCCAGUAGCGGCGAGCGAACGGGGAGGAGCCCAGAGCCUGAAUCAGCAUGUGUGUUAGUGGAAGCGUCUGGAAAGGCGCGCGAUACAGGGUGACAGCCCCGUACACAAAAGCGCAUGUGCUGUGAGCUCGAUGAGUAGGGCGGGACACGUGGUAUCCUGUCUGAAUAUGGGGGGACCAUCCUCCAAGGCUAAAUACUCCUGACUGACCGAUAGUGAACCAGUACCGUGAGGGAAAGGCGAAAAGAACCCCGGCGAGGGGAGUGAAAAAGAACCUGAAACCGUGUACGUACAAGCAGUGGGAGCACCCUUCGGGGUGUGACUGCGUACCUUUUGUAUAAUGGGUCAGCGACUUAUAUUCUGUAGCAAGGUUAACCGUAUAGGGGAGCCGGAGGGAAACCGAGUCUUAACCGGGCGUUAAGUUGCAGGGUAUAGACCCGAAACCCGGUGAUCUAGCCAUGGGCAGGUUGAAGGUUGGGUAACACUAACUGGAGGACCGAACCGACUAAUGUUGAAAAAUUAGCGGAUGACCUGUGGCUGGGGGUGAAAGGCCAAUCAAACCGGGAGAUAGCUGGUUCUCCCCGAAAGCUAUUUAGGUAGCGCCUCGUGAAUUCAUCUCCGGGGGUAGAGCACUGUUUCGGCUAGGGGGCCAUCCCGGCUUACCAACCCGAUGCAAACUGCGAAUACCGGAGAAUGUUAUCACGGGAGACACACGGCGGGUGCUAACGUCCGUCGUGAAGAGGGAAACAACCCAGACCGCCAGCUAAGGUCCCAAAGUCAUGGUUAAGUGGGAAACGAUGUGGGAAGGCCCAGACAGCCAGGAUGUUGGCUUAGAAGCAGCCAUCAUUUAAAGAAAGCGUAAUAGCUCACUGGUCGAGUCGGCCUGCGCGGAAGAUGUAACGGGGCUAAACCAUGCACCGAAGCUGCGGCAGCGAACGUAUCACCCAAGACAACUUUACGGAGUUGACGAUUGACGGAGCGAAGCGACGUCAAAGCGUUCAUUAAAGUCGAGUUGGCUUAGGGAUACGUUCGUUGGGUAGGGGAGCGUUCUGUAAGCCUGUGAAGGUGUGUCGUGAGGCAUGCUGGAGGUAUCAGAAGUGCGAAUGCUGACAUAAGUAACGAUAAAGCGGGUGAAAAGCCCGCUCGCCGGAAGACCAAGGGUUCCUGUCCAACGUUAAUCGGGGCAGGGUGAGUCGACCCCUAAGGCGAGGCCGAAAGGCGUAGUCGAUGGGAAACGGGUUAAUAUUCCCGUACUUGGUGUUACUGCGAAGGGGGGACGGAGAAGGCUAUGUUGGCCGGGCGACGGUUGUCCCGGUUUAAGCGUGUAGGUGUGUGUUCCAGGUAAAUCCGGUUCACUUUAACACUGAGGCGUGACGACGAGGCACUACGGUGCUGAAGCAACAAAUGCCCUGCUUCCAGGAAAAGCCUCUAAGCAUCAGGUAACAUCAAAUCG